rnacentral:lncRNA from 1 species
AGGGUCGCGAACAGGUAGGGCCAGAGUAUUCAGUCGAAUGCUUUUUUGGCGUCAAGGGAUUGGAGGAGGGUCGGCUGUUGUCGGUGGUUUGAUGUCCAAAUUAGGUCGUAUGUUCUUCUGGUUUUAUCACACGCUUGGCGGUGUGGGAUGAAUCCGACUUGGUCCAGGUGGAUUAAUUUGGGAAGGAAGGGGUGUAGUCGGUUGGCAAGAAUUUUGGUGAAUAGUUUUAUGCCGGUGUUUAGUAGUGAAAUCGGCCGGUAAUGGCCUGGGUCUAGAUGGGUCUUGUGGGGGGAAAUUAUGUAACUUUUAAUUAUGUUAACUGAUAAUUUAAAGGGGAAGAGAUGUGUGGGUUGUACCUUAUACCUAAUUGGCUACUGUACUAAUUAUUGUGGGUCUCUCCCUUGCAUGGGAGGAUUGCAUAAAAGCAGGGGUUGUGUGAUUAAAGCUCAGUUCUGCUCCUAAUACUGUGUGUCGUCCAGUUAUUGGAAAAGGUGAUGGGAUUAUAUUACUGAUUGUGCUUGCUACGCUGCUGGAUUACUCUGUUACUGUGGAUGUUUUACCUGGGAUUAUUUACUUGUUCCUGAGCCAUACUGGCAUCUAUAGCGGAUUUAGUCUGUGGAAUAACAGCUCUCCGCUACACCUAGGUUAACUGGCACCUGGCUUGGAAAUGUAUACUGGCACCAUCCAAAGUGUAGGGUUUUCAAAAAAAUUUUUUGUCUCUCUAUGCAAUGCCACCAACACCCUUUUGUUAGGGAAAUUACACACAUUCUCACACAUCUGCUCAUAUUUAUAUGCACACACAUAUUUAUGCAGAUACAUGCUACAUUCAUACACACACAUUCAUAUACACAGUCCAAUUUAUAAUCACAUAUUUAAACACAUACACUCAUAUUGACAUACACACACACUCAUAUACAUACACCCACUGUCAUACGCGCACACAUUUACCCACCUUCAUACACACACACACGUCUAAUUUUUAUAUAGCUCUUUAUUCCUGGUACCCAUUGGUUUGCUGUUGAAUGCACAGCUCCUUGCAGUUCUGUUUUUGCUCUGUCACCCUGCUGGGCAGUCUAGGAGGAGACCAGUGGAUGUUGUCCUAUCUGACAUCACUGGAGGGACUACAAGGAGAGAUGUGUUGCAUACAGGACUUGCGAAAUAAACUGUAUUACCGGAACCCGUAAUCCCCAGUAAUGAAUACAAAUUAAAAAAAUAUCCAACAGGCGUCACAGUGUAGUGUGGGAAAAAAGAAACAAGGUUUAUUAAACCAUGAGGAGAAAAAAAACAACCCAAAAACAUACAAUGUAUUGGCCACACGGUCUUAAUCAUAUAUAGCAUUCAUCAACAUACCCAAUGAUGUAACAUAGGGAUUCCUGGCCAAACAAUAGCCUCAUUUCAAAAUCAUGACAUCAUAAUGUAGUGUCCCAAGGUCAAAUUGGUUGUCAUGGCAUCAAUAUACAAAAUAACAAAAUAAAUGGGCUAACCUAAAUGGAAUGUUAUAUAUAGUAAGACAGCAACCAAAUUGGACAACUGGUGUAGUAACAGAAGCAGGAAAGGUGUCUAAUGUGAGCACAGCUGCAGGACAUAUGCAGUAACUGGGUUGCCAUGGCAACCAGAAUAGCGCAAAUAUUUGUCCAGGGCUGAACCCUAGUAGAAUAUAUAACUGUAAAGAAGACAUUAGGAUAAUAAUCCAGGUAUUCAUAGAAGUCAGGGUGUUAUAGACAAAAGUAGUUUACAUGCAGAUGAAAAAAGCUGCAUUUAUAGGAGUUGAACAAAUAAGCACAUGUAGUGGAAAUAAAAAGAAAGUAGGAGGUCGAAAUGAGACUUACCAACAAAGUGAAUACAGCCCAGAGUGCCAAGAUAACGUUAUACACCAACACUAAAGAGAUCUGCGUUACAGUUACAAUGUAGAGACCAGAAAAAGUAGAAGUGAGGUAGCCAUGGCAACAAUAAACAAAUGAGUGAGAGCUGCCCCAAAAGAGUGUAGCCACCAAAAUGCUUAAAUAAGGAGAGGUUACUUUUUUACUACGUAUCUGGGUUUAUGUUAAAACGCUCCUUAAAACGCAUAGUGGUAUCACCUCAACGUAUAUCACCAUCAACGUAUAUGAGACCACAUUGACCACAUACAUGAGUAUAAAAUCCGAAUUGCAUGUUUAAUAUUUCUUUAUUCUGGGUACCUUCCCAGAACGGGGAUGAGUGAACGGGUCAUCUUUAAUAAUAUUAUUGCAUGCAUUGCAGUUGAGGAAUGGAAAUGUGCAAAACAUAGGAUUGGCCCCAAAUUUUUGUUUUACUUGGGAAAUUGGAUCAAUGUCUGCUUUCACUAAGGAGUAACAAACAU